CCCCAGUACCCACCCAAAAAAGAGAUGCUAUAUCUUAUGUGUAAGAACCAGAAGAUUGGUUUUGAUUUUUAAACUCACUUAACUGUCACUGUGGUUUGCAGGAUUCCAGACAGCAUUGGGAAAGACAUAGAAAAAGCUUGCCAGUCUAUUUAUCCUCUUCAUGAUGUCUUUGUCAGAAAAGUAAAAAUGCUGAAGAAGCCCAAGUUUGAAUUGGGAAAACUCAUGGAGCUUCAUGGUGAAGGUAGUAGCUCUGGAAAAGCUACUGGAGAUGAGACUGGAGCUAAAGUUGAACGAGCUGAUGGAUAUGAACCACCAGUCCAAGAGUCUGUUUAAAAUCCAGAUUUUUAAUAGUGAUAAAUAAAAUCCUAUUUGUGAUGGCUUGCUUCUGAAGAACAUA